UAUUUUUCGAAAUCAUUGAAA
rnacentral:piRNA from 1 species